rnacentral:tRNA from 1 species
GGGCCGGUAGCUCAGCUGGUCAGAGCAGCGGACUCAUAAUCCGUCGGUCGGUGGUUCGAGUCCACCCCGGCCCA